CCAGCCUCCUGGGGCCCCCAGGGACCUCGGCCCUGCCCCGCCUCAGCCGCUCCCCAUUCACCAGCACCCUCCCCUCCUCUUCUGCUUCUAUCUCCACCACUCAGGUGUUUUCUCUGGCUGGCUCUACCUUUAGCCUCCCUUCUACCCACAUCUUUGGAACCCCCAUGGGUGCCGUUAAUCCCCUCCUCGCCCAAGCUGAGAGCAGCCACACAGGUAUGUGAAUAUCUGACCCCCUCUCCCCUUUCUUCCUAAAGGUCUGACACCCAUCACCUGCAUGGGACCCCAGAAAGAAUGGGAGAACUUUCUGGCUGCCCCCUCCCUCUGGCCAUUGCCCUCCCUGCAAAAACAAACAGGUCGGGUGUGGUGGCUCAUGCCUGUAAUCCCAGCACUUUGGGAGGCCGAGGCGGGUGGAUCACCUGAGAUCAGGAGUUCGAGACUAGCCUGGCCAACAUGGUGAAACCCCCGUCUCUACUAAAAAUACAAAAAUUAGCUGGGCGUGGUGGUGGGCGCCUGUAAUCCCAGCUACUC
rnacentral:sRNA from 1 species